CGCUCUCCUUUUUUUGCCUGAACAUGUAUAUUCCCCAGAAUUUAAUACCCUGGGAUGAACUGAAAGACUAAAAAGAGGUAUUUUAGUCUCGUUUUGUCUCAGGCAUUCUUCUCUGACCCCAUUCUCUGGCUGGGGGCAAGGUUGCCAAGGGUCAAUAUCCACUUCACAGUGGAGAGAGAUCAAUGUCUGCUGAAGCCAGUGCCUAGUUUUACUCCCUCUCCCUCACCAGUGAUAUAUUUCACAGAGAGGAGCCAAGAAACUUUUCUUCUCCCUUCCAAGAAGAAGGAAAAAAAAAAAAUCUUGUCUCCACACUUGCUCCCACCAGGAGGGCAUUGUAUUUGGCCUGUGCUCUGUUUUCUGUUAUAAAUUUGCAUGGCGUGACUGUGUGCUUUGGCUUGCACUGCUGCCUGGCUGCGGGGCACUGCCCGGCGUGCCCGAAGCUGCCCCCCCUGGCAGGGAGGAGAGGUCGGGGCAGGCCCCUCCGGGCGCCGCACCAGCACCUGGAGCCGCGGCGCUCGGCCCCGGGGCCCGAAAGUCUUCAUGAGGCUCGCAGCCCUCCUGAAGGAGACCUCGUUUGGCAUUGCUCAGGGCUACGUUUGCACUUGGACGGCGCUGCUUUGGUACGAGCUCCUUGGGAAAGCGUGCUGGUGGCCCAAGUGAAGAGCACCAUGAUGGGCUCAGCCUUGAGCCCGUGAGAAAAACCUGCGGAGAUGAGCUGUGUGAACUAAUAGGUCUCUUCCACUGCUAACUUCUAUUCUAAAAUAAACCUUUCUUCCUGCUUUUAGACACAGCGCCAGCCGUUCCUUACCCUGCACACUAGACCUAGCUUUCUUUUCUUCCUUUAGCUUAGCGGAGAAGCCUUUAAAGCAAACAAACAAAAAACUGUGAGAAACAGAGGGAAGAUACGGACUGGCCCACUCAUUAGUGCUGGAAUGUGGAAACUAUGAAGACAUCUUUUUUUAUUACCAAUGCUGGAAAGCACAGUCACUGAGUGGGCUGGAAUACAAUUUAUACUACAUGCAGUAGUUAAAAAAACUGCAAAAAUGGGUGUAACCCUGGGCUGUGGUACAACUGGCCUUUCAGCCCCCACUUGAGAUUCGUAUGUCCCAGGGGGAAACUGUGGUUUGGAAUAAGAGCGUGCAUUUAAUUUCUCUCGGAGAACUUAUUGGAGUUGGCACUUCAAGAAAGAAUCUGAAGUAUAUUUUUUGUAAUGAUUAGUGGCCCCCUGACCACUACGUUUGAUUGUUUUGGAAACGGAAAAGUUAAAUUCUUAUAAAAUAAUGAUUUACAAUUCAUGAUUAUCCAGGUAGGGUGCACAGAUUCCGCCAACUUGGUCAUGGGACUCAAAUCUCGUCCUAGCUCAUUGCUGUGAGAAAAUAAAACUAAAAUGUGAAAAAGCUGAAAACACAUCCUCUGAUUGCUCAGGGAAUUUUCUUAGUCAUACGUUAUCUUUCCUAGUAGUUUUAAGUUAUUUUGUCUCCACUAAAACCCAAAGCAAAACACUGCCCUAACACUUUCCCCUUGAUUUCUGAUCUAGAGCAGACAAAUUUAUUUUUAUCUUGUGUCGUCUUUUCCCCUAUGAUUAUGCAAAUCCUAGGAAUAGGGGGCAAGGGGAAGAGCUAAUUUUAAAGUAAGUAAAUUCCAGUUGAAGAUUGCUUCAGUUGCUCUGAUUAGGACUAUCCUGGGUGCUGUUGUAAAGAUGUGGCUACCUCCAAAUAGAACAGGGGUAGGUGCCAAGUGGGGAGGUUGAAUAUUUUCCUUGUAGACACAUAACUUUACCCACAGGAUUGAAGGUUUUUUGCCUUAACGUUCUGUUAAACAGUUCUGGAAGUACAAAACUGUGUCUUAAGAAACACACGUUAGUGAAAUGCAUCUCCACACAAUCAGUUGCUGAAAAAAAUGUCUGCGGGGAGAGGUUUUGGGGGCAGGCGAAGGGUGGGGUUAAUGAGAAAUAUCUUAGAGAAAAUAUGGGGCAUCAGCACUUCAUUAUUCCUUCCAGCAAUCGUCCUCUGUUUUAGUUAACGCUUGCUGUAUUUUGAUAUACUUUUUCUUUCUUGCUUUUUUCCCUGGCAAGGAAAUCAUUUUGAAACAGUAAAUUUCACUUUCUUUCUAAUCUCUCUAGAUUUUUUUUCUAAAUACAACUUUGCCUUGAACCUGUUUAAUCCCGUUUUUAACUCUAGCGUACAGCCGUUAAUGCACGAUGGAUUCCCAGGCUGAAAAUCCCGUACAGGCUACACUGGACUCUGCUUUGUGAGUGUGCAAGUGUGUAGAUGCAGGUGUAAGAACUGUAACCAAAAACGCUUUGUUUAUUAAAAAAAAAAAGUAAUACAUAUAUAUAAUGCCUUAUAAAAGAAUUGAACAGGAUCAGAAUCUACGGUACGUGUAACAGGUGAGAGUGAGUGCUGGGUUAGGCGGUGCACGCUGCGGUCACCGCCUGGAGUUGCGUUGAGAUUCUCUUUGCUCUUCCUUCGAGCACCACUGCGGUACUCCUUGCUGCAAUGGAUUAAUUGGAGUAAUCUUCCGUGGGGCGUGGAGUUUCUGCAUCCAGCAAAACUCGUAAGUACCUCCUGGUAUCACGUGGCAAGGGGCUGUAAAUGCAUCUUUAAAUACCACCUAAAAUUGGGAGGAGUUUAAAUAGCCAUUUAAGGCCUUUCUCUGUUUUGGAGCGUGGGAGGUAAGGAUGCAAAUAUUUAAGAAAAUGAAGUAAUUUAGGUGCAAGAGCCCAGAUUUGGAAAAUUUGGCCCACGAAAUGCACACACUAAGUGUGUCUGCGUGUUUGUGUCUGUGUAAGGUAACAAAAUUCACUAGUCGUUUGGAUUAAUCUCUCAAGUUACUGUGGGGGCGUGUUGCCUUCACAUUCUCCUGACUUGAUUAAGUUGCAUUUGAAUUUAUGUCUCAGUCUUGCAACUUAAUAAACCUACACAGUUUAAAACACAUGAGAAGGACUACAGGGUUUGAAGCAUAAAUUCUGUCCCCUGUUUUGCAAAGCACCAUGCACACGUCUGAGGCUCCUUAAGGAAAAGCUGACCACGUCCCAUGUCAAUCUGAGACUGAACUGGACAGCUGAAUGCCAAAGUAUUGAAGAUGACAUAUAGCCAUAAACUUAAAUCACUGCUAAGCUACACCUUCAAGUCUGCCAGCAUUGGUUGCCACACUCAGCCAGUGAAAAGGGGCAGCAGAGAGGCUCUGCUGAGAAGGAAGGGCUGAGCUCAGGGACCCCCAGCUCAGCGUCCGAGGAAGGACAAGGACAUCAGUGGAGCUAUAGGUUCAGAUCAGUGUCUGCUAGAGGCCUCCAGUGCUGCUAUCAAAGCCACUUUCAAAGCUAAUAAGGCAAGAUCUGCUCCGGUCUUGCUGUUCCGAAGUCUCAAACAGAUGUCAGCGCCUUUACCGAAGAACACACUAAAAAGUGGAUUAGACAAGCACACAGGGAACGCUGGAUUCAGACUGACAGCCAAGGGCUAAGCUUGUCUCACCAGCAGAAGAGAGCUGAUUCUCUGUGGGAAAUCCUCAUGUAUACAAUGCAGAAAUUUUGAAUUUUUUGUAGAACACAUCAUCUGAAAAUUGCUACUUGGAAACACUGAACCAUUGCUGUUUAUCCACGGGAAUGGAAGUGAGACCUUUGAACCUUCUCAGGCUGAAGCACUGUGACGAUGGUCUCCAAACCCGCACGUGCUCCUGGCAGGGCCAACAAGUCUCUCCUUCGUCUAGGUCAGGGUUCCAGCUACACUUAGGUCGUGGAGCUUAGGGUGCUCCCCUGAGCCAGCCUCAGAGGCAUCCACACAGCACCAAGGAAGGUAGCGUCCUCCAGGGAGCCAAGCGCAGCAGCAGCUCCUGCAAGGUGCUACACUCCUGGUGUCAUGGGGCUACUUCAGGAUGAAACCUGCUAACAAGACAUUCUGAUUUUGGAGAAAACUGUCUCAAAAUUAAGAUUUUCUAUGCCUUACUCUUCCCCAAAGAAACUGAAUUUGGGGAGGAAAUAAUAAUAAUAUUUAAAUAUAAUGAUAACCAUAAAAUUCCUUGCUGUAUUCAUCAGAGUGUUUACUAUGAAAUUAAUACGAAACACCUCUCAGUGACAAAUAUGAAAUGAGCACAACCAACGCUGUACUAAUAGCUGUAUUUGGAAGGUGACUUAGCACAUGCGUGUGAGAUGUGUGUGGAAGUGGCAAAAAUCUAAAAAAGGGAAAAUCUUUGAGGUGAGGAGCCAUCCGUGCACAUGUUCCUUUCGGGUAUUUUGGGAAGAGGGCUCCCGCGUCAGCAAGCACCUGCACCAGGCACGGCGGCUCAGGCGGAAAGGUGCCAUCGCGCAAACGCAGCAGAUGCCCCACAGCUGAAGCCUUUCAAAGGAGACACCUAGCGAGACCCCCGGCCUGGCCGUAUGGGAUAACUUAAAGUCCGUCCUCAUCCCUCAGGAUGCAGAUCAGUCCUGCGUUUCCUUGGUGUGGCUACGCAUCGCUCAGCUGGAUCUGCUGAAAAUAUCGAUGUUUGGGCUCGUCCAGAACACCAAGCUGCUUCAGGUCCUGCUGCUGGAGGAAGAGUCCUCGGAUUGCCAGCCUCCUAGUGCGGGAGCCGACAGGAAUUCCUCAACGAAACCGUGAGGGGACCUCACCCUAGAGCUGACUGCUCGGAGAGGAAGGAGGGGAAAGCCACCGUUCGGCUGCAAGAAAAGCAGUUGCUUCUGCCGUCAGACACCCCACCUUGCGGCACGAGCCUUGCCCCUUGUGCAACCAGAAGAGGACUCCCUGAUGUUAGCAAUUCCGGUUGCAUUCUCCAAAAUCUGUUGAAAAAUUAAGGCUAGGCGAGGCAACUCCCUAAAUCAAAGGAAAAGCCAGUGUGAUAGGGGCCUGGCGUAUCAUCCUGCUGUGCAGGAGCUUGCAGGAGCGGCCCCUGCAGCCACAGCACAAGUGCUGGCUCCCAAGGGCUGCUGCAAUUUCUUUAUUUGUUGGAAAGGCGGAUGGGACCUUUUAAUAAUAAGAUAUGUGAAACCGUUUGGAUGAUCUGGAGUGAAGGCUUGCGCAGCCCCUGUGUCAAUGCACUGUGGCAAUGCAGUGGAAACGGGGCGGUUCUAGAAACAACUGCCCUUCAGCGUGGUUCUUUCCAGUCUAUGUGUAAAAACCACCCUCUUAGGGACCACCUCUUCUCUUUAAUGAGCUAGUAACACGUCUCUGAUUUGAGUAGCUAAAAUAAAUUUUUAUUGCUUUUUGCUUACGUUAGCACCCCGGAGUAAGAAGACAGACACGUAAGCUAGGCUGGCCAUUGCUGUGAUUCUGUGAAACAGGGCUUCACUUCCUUGCUUCCUUUGCGGCAGGAAAAUUAGAAAAGACCUGAUCCUAAAGAUAUUAAAUGCUGAAAUCCUAUGGAAUUCAAUAGAAAUUAUUGCCCAAAUAUUGAGGCGAUCUGGGCUUAAUCUUUCUGUACUUGAGUCCUCCAUCUGUCAAAUGAGAAUAUUCUUCCCUAGUCCCGGUAAAGUGUAACAAUAAAAACAUUAAGGAAAAUAAGGUGCUCGGCUCCUAUAAUCUGUAAAUGUAGAAAAUCAAAGCAAGACAGAAUGGUUAUAUGUUUUUUAUGCAUCCUGAUUACUUAUUAGUUUCCAUUUCCAGAGACAACUGUGUACCCCUUUGCUAAUUAAUUAAUUGACGGUCGGGUUCCACAGCUGUAAUCAGGGCCCCCUUUACCCUCCAGAGCUUCGCUGAC